rnacentral:rRNA from 1 species
AUUGAACGCUGGCGGCAGGCCUAACACAUGCAAGUCGAGCGGAUGAAGGGAGCUUGCUCCUGGAUUCAGCGGCGGACGGGUGAGUAAUGCCUAGGAAUCUGCCUGGUAGUGGGGGAUAACGUCCGGAAACGGGCGCUAAUACCGCAUACGUCCUGAGGGAGAAAGUGGGGGAUCUUCGGACCUCACGCUAUCAGAUGAGCCUAGGUCGGAUUAGCUAGUUGGUGGGGUAAAGGCCUACCAAGGCGACGAUCCGUAACUGGUCUGAGAGGAUGAUCAGUCACACUGGAACUGAGACACGGUCCAGACUCCUACGGGAGGCAGCAGUAGGGAAUCUUGGGCAAUGGGCGAAAGCCUGAUCCAGCAAUGCCGCGUGUGUGAAGAAGGUCUUCGGAUUGUAAAGCACUUUAAGUUGGGAGGAAGAGCAGUAAGUUAAUACCUUGCUGUUUUGACGUUACCAACAGAAUAAGCACCGGCUAACUUCGUG